rnacentral:misc_RNA from 1 species
AACGCACCUUGCGCUCCUUGGUAUUCCGAGGAGCAUGCCUGUUUGAGUGUCAUUAAAUUCUCAACCUUUUCAGCUUUUUUACAAAGUUGAAUAGGCUUGGAUAUGGGGGUUGCGGGCUUCUCAGAAGUCGGCUCCUCUUAAAUGCAUUAGCAAAAUCUUUGUGGACCAGCUCUGGUGUGAUAAUUAUCUACGCCUUUGCCUGUUAGCACAUCUUUAUAGGAUUUAGCUUCUAACCGUCCAUUGACUUGGACAAUUUCUGACAUUUUGACCUCAAAUCAGGUAGGACUACCCGCUGAACUUAA